UAUUGGGCGUAAGCGCGCGCAGGUGGUUUCUUAAGUCUGAUGUGAAAGCCCACGGCUCAACCGUGGAGGGUCAUUGGAAACUGGGAGACUUGAGUGCAGAAGAGGAAAGUGGAAUUCCAUGUGUAGCGGUGAAAUGCGUAGAGAUAUGGAGGAACACCAGUGGCGAAGGCGACUUUCUGGUCUGUAACUGACACUGAGGCGCGAAAGCGUGGGGAGCACACAGGAUUAUAUACCCUG
rnacentral:rRNA from 1 species